rnacentral:snoRNA from 1 species
UGUCCAAUGAUGACAGUGACCAUGUAGCAAAGAUUAUGACUCAUCUAAUUCUGUGUGUCUCAGAUUCAUU